AUACAGAGGUCCCAAGCGUUGUUCGGAAUCACUGGGUUUAAAGGGUGCGUAGGAGGGCAGGUAAGUCAGUGGUGAAAUCUCCAAGCUUAACUUGGAAACUGCCGUUGAUACUAUCUGUCUUGAAUACCGUGGAGGUGAGCGGAAUAUGUCAUGUAGCGGUGAAAUGCUUAGAUAUGACAUAGAACACCAAUUGCGAAGGCAGCUCGCUACACGAAUAUUGACUCUGAGGCACGAAAGCGUGGGGAUCAAACAGGAUUAGAUACCCUGGUAGUCCACGCCCUAAACGAUGGAUACUCGACAUACGCGAUAUACUGUGUGUGUCUGAGCGAAAGCAUUAAGUAUCCCACCUGGGAAGUACGACCGCAAGGUUGAAACUCAAAUGAAUUGACGGGG
rnacentral:rRNA from 1 species